rnacentral:rRNA from 1 species
CCUACGGGAGGCAGCCGUGGGGAAUAUUGCACAAUGUGGGAAACCCUGAUGCAGCGACGCCGCGUGAGUGAAGAAGUAUUUCGGUAUGUAAAGCUCUAUCAGCAGGGAAGAAGAAAGACGGUACCUGACUAAGAAGCCCCGGCUAACUACGUGGCAGCAGCCGCGGUAAUACGUAGGGGGCAAGCGUUAUCCGUGUUUACUGGGUGGAAAGGGAGCGUAGACGGUUGUGCAAGUCUGAAGUGAAAGCCCAGGGCUCAACCCUGGGACUGCUUUGGCAACUGUGGAGCUAGAGUGCUGGAGAGGUAAGUGGAAUUCCUAGUGUAGCGGUGAAAUGCGUAGAUAUUAGGAGGAACACCAGUGGCGAAGGCGGCUUACUGUACAGUAACUGACGUUGAGGCUCGAAAGCGUGGGGAGCAAACAGGAUUAGAUACCCGGGUAGUC